AGCAGCCGCGGUAAUUCCAGCUCCAAUAGCGUAUAUUAAAGUUGUUGCAGUUAAAAAGCUCGUAGUUGAAUUUCGGGGUUAGUAGGUUGGUCAUGCCUCUGGUAUGUACUGGUCUCACUGAUUCCUCCUUCCUGAUGAACUGUAAUGCCAUUAACUUGGUGUUGCAGGGAAUCUGGACUGUUACUUUGAAAAAAUUGAGUGUUUAAAGCAGGCUAACGCCUGAAUACAUUAGCAUGGAAUAAUGAAAUAGGACGUUCGAUCCUAUUUUGUUGGUUUCUAGGAUUGACGUAAUGAUUAAUAGGGAUAGUUGGGGGCAUUAGUAUUCAAUUGUCAGAGGUGAAAUUCUUGGAUUUAUUGAAGACUAACUACUGCGAAAGCAUUUGCCAAGGAUGUUUUCAUUAAUCAAGAACGAAAGUUAGGGAUCGAAGACGAUCAGAUACCGUCGUAGU
rnacentral:rRNA from 1 species